rnacentral:lncRNA from 1 species
UUUAAUAACAUGUUAAUUAAUUGUAAAAUUGUAAUUUGUUUGUUUGUUUGUUUGUUUAGUGUGACAGUGUCGUCUCAUCAUGGCGCGCGCCAGUAUUGCCAUGAACAUCAUCGAGGAAAACCCGCACCAUCCAACCACCGACAAUCAGCCGCUCAUCAAAUACUACAAAGCAACCACCCUGAUACCUGAUAAACCACCCGCCCUGCACCGCCUGCUGGAUAAACAACCUGCAGCCUGGGCUUCUGUGCAGAUCACCAGUGGUAUACUGAGUUUUGGACUGGGCGUGGUUUUCGCGGUGGCGUUUGGGAUGGAGGAACUGCUCCUCACGCUCUUCAGGGUUCCAAUCCUGACUGGAAUCAUGUUUCUGGUUGCUGGGUUUCUGUCGAACCUGCUGUAUAAACACCCCGGCCUGCUGCAGAUCUGCUUCCACUCCAACAUACUGUGUUUAGUGGUGGCUGCAGUCGGGGUCAUGCUGCUGUGUGUGGAUUUAUCCAAGCAUCAGGAGGACCUGCGCUUAAAGGUGGAGGUGGUGGUGCUGUGUGUGACGGUGUUGGACAUGCUGGUCUCCAUCAUUCUGAUCAUCUUCAUACGCAUGGAGAAACUCAACCUGGAGAAAAACAGCGCCUCCUCUGGAGCUCACCGGGAAUAACCUCAACCUGGACCACCUCCGUAAAAAAAACACCAGACUGGAUGCCAAGGAUUUCUAUAGAUAUUCUUACAUGUUUAUUGAGUUUAUAUCGUUAACAAUCAGCCAUAACAUUGAUACCACCUUCCUGGUACCAUGGAAACAGCUUUAACCCCUUAGUUAUUCUCACAAUUAAUGCGUUUUUGUCGGCCCUGACUGACCAGGGCUCUAAUGCGCUCAGAGACUCCUUUUCCCAGCAUUCUCACUCUAUGAACUACAAUGUCUCAUCAAGUCACGUGACUCCCCGGCGUUCUGGUUCACCAGGCUAUUGAUUACCACCUGGAGUUUUUAGUAUAAAUACCCCUCUGUUUGCUUAGUCUCGAGUAUUGAAUCUAGGUUCGCUAGUUGACGCAUUUCUCUUCUGUUAUUUUUUUACUCGAUUAUCGUUUAUCAUUUACUCUUUCUUGAAUUGCCCUGUUUCUUGUUUCUUGUUUUUUCAUUGUUGGUAUGUUGAUUUUAAGUUUGGUGCCCUUUGGUUGCUGACCCCGCCCACUUUUGACUAUCCUUAUAUAU